UCCCAUCUCCUGUUGUUCCCUAUGGUGGCUGCGGCUUCUUCCCCACUUCCUUCCAAAUCCUCCUCUCUCCCUUCCUUCCUCAGAUCUGCACGGGGCGAGCUCCACCGGCCGGACGAGGGCCGGGCUAGCUGGAGCUCCGGCGAGCGGCACCCUCCUCUCUUCCUUUCCCCCGUCAAGCUCACUCCUCUCUCCCUCCUGCCUCAGAUCCGUGGCGCAGCCGGCACGGCACGCACGGGCGAGGCCGUGGGGCGGUGCGGGCCCGGCAGCGGUGCGGCGCGGGCAAGGCUGGAGGCGCGGCGGAGCGUACAUGUGCGGGCGAAGCAGCAGGUGGCGCGUGCAGGCGGAGUGCAGGACGCGCGUUGCUCGGGCGUGCGCAGGAGCGACGCGGCAAGGCGGCACCACCAUGUUGUUGUCACUUCUCCUUGGUCCCUACCCAAAUUGAUGGGGUUCCUCACGAGGAAGCAAGGCUGGCAUGACAUUGAUGACACACCAUGGCUAAUGGUUCGUCAGUUCAGCACCUGCGAUUCAUAACUGGAUGUGAAUCACUCACGUUUUGCUCUCAUCUGUGCAAAACACGAGUGGAUUGAGGUCUUUGCUUUCAUGUGAUUUAAAGGGUUAAAGAACUAGCAGUUAGAAUAGAAGAGAAGCCUCGUAGAGAAGAAAUCAUCGCUAGCCAAAUAUGCUGCCACAACACUCUCAUCAAAACUGAUAGGUGGUGAAAAAGAAUUCUUUGCUUCCUUGGUUGCUGGUACCUGUCUGUUGUUGGUGGUGCUAUUUGUUGUUUCUGGUGCUGUAGUUGGCUUAUGUGCCAUAGUGAAUCUGUUGUGAAGCUAGAUGAAAGCAUGCAUGUGAUCUGGGCCGGAAAACUAUGUAUUAUGGGGUGGUGAUGUGGUGCUGUUCUAAAUUUGAUCAUUUUGAAUAUGUAAUCCUGGUCAAAUUGGUUGAUAAAUCUUGCAGGCUGAAUUAAUCAUUUUGAUAAA